UACGUAGGUGGCAAGCGUUGUCCGGAUUUACUGGGCGUAAAGAGCGCGCAGGCGGUCGUUCAAGUCGCGUGUGAAAGCCCCCGGCUCAACUGGGGAGGGUCACGCGAUACUGAUCGACUCGAAGGCAGGAGAGGGUAGUGGAAUUCCCGGUGUAGUGGUGAAAUGCGUAGAUAUCGGGAGGAACACCAGUGGCGAAGGCGACUACUUGGCCUGUUCUUGACGCUGAGGCGCGAAAGCUAGGGGAGCAAACGGG
rnacentral:rRNA from 1 species